ensembl:lncRNA
AUGGAUGCAGUGUUAAGAGUCUCUGCUGCUGGGGCCACAGAGUGUGAGGAAAGUUCCAAAGACUGCAGUCCACUGGGCUCUUGGGGUUUUACUGAACAGUGGAGGUGGAGAGAAAGGAUGCUGGACCAUUUUAAUUCAAAAGAGGAAAGACACAGACAGUCCUAUUGUCAGAGCCUUCAUUCAAGUCCAUUGAAGGAGCUGGAAGCAUCACUGAAGACAGAAGGACGUCAAGGAUUACCUGCCUCACUCCUCACCAGUUGCUGUAAAGAAAAAGUCUACAUUCUCAAAUGGUUACUUGUCUGCUCUCAGACCCUGCUCUACGGUCACAUUUCCCACAACUUUAUUUCAGAGAGUCCUGCACUGACCGUGUUCACCCCUCCCGUAUUUCUUCCACACACUCGGGGUUGUUUAUCCAUACUUGCAUGCAAAUAUCCCAUCUAAUUUUGUUCUUUUAAAAUGCCGUUUAAAUACAGCUUUUCAGGGAAACAGCCUGUUUCAAUUUAUCUUAGUUGAAAGUAGGGCUAUAAAUCUCUCCGGUUUAUUUUAUUGAUCUCAGACAAAAUUACAAAUAUAAAUUACAGCUGCUGCAAAUUAAAUGUUCUAAUGACUGAAAGCAAAGGCGCUCAUGCCCGUAACACGUGCAGCAAAGACACAGCAGACAACAGCCACUGCCUGCUCUCUGUGCAAACCCUCAGCCACCGUGCUUCUCCACCUGCAGGCAGCUUAAUACACCCACCACGAAAGCUCAGUGAGAAACACUGCACUUCAAGUGGCAAUAUAUGUUCUGUGUAGCCCAUGCUGAAAUACAGAAAUCUAUCAACGGUUUUACUGUCCCAACACUUAUCCCCAUUCUCAAUCUUACUAUAAAUGCUGGCCACGGGGUCACGCUCCACAAAGGCAAAUAUCAGGUGUUGCUGCUUCAGGUAGCACGCGUUUCCUAUGGCGGAGCUCCCAUUUCACAAGGCAGCAUAAUCAUCAGUUUUCUACUCCGCUGACACUCAGACCCUUAUGCACAAAGGUUUCUGUUUACCAGGUCAUAAAAUUGCAAGUAUAAUAGCAGUGACUUUGCUGCACUUGAUAAAACCGUAAAACAUUUCAUUUCGCUGCCUACUGAGCUUUAAAAAAAAAAAUGACAUUGGAAAGGAGACAACAUUCUUGUUACCAUCAAAGUAUUUCAAAAUAUCUACUUUUCUGCUUGUGAUCUGUGGACGUAUGUUUUUCCUUCUCUCCACUUUUGCUACUAUUUUUAGACAUGAGCCGAAAAAUCCAGAAAAAAAGAUAACUUUUAUUCUUGCUUAAGUUAUGAUCACAAAGCCUCUGAAUAUAUUUAUAUCUGUACAUAGUAGAAGUAUUCACAUUCCUACACAUUCUACAAGAGAGGAACCCUGGCAACUAGACAAACUCUGCAUUUAAUCCGCACUCAAAAAAACAACCUAACAAAAAACAACCACAAGACACAUGGAAAAUGCCACGACUGUCUCUCUGGCUCGUGGAACUGAUUUGCUCCUAAGCCAGAUUCAGAUGGACCUAACAGACCCUCCCAACUUGCAAGCUGCCCAUAGAUGGCCCUUCUGUGCUCACAGCAGGCAGAACACCUUGAGUUUGUCUGCCCUCAUCAUCCAAGCCAAGAAGUAAGAAAAAGUAGUAAGAUUCAGAAAAAAUAUCUUCUUCCCUGAUAUCAGUCAAGCUGCAGUUAAGGAGAGACCUCCAGAGAUAGCUGGUACCCAUGGCAUCUCUGUGCUUUUUGAAGUCAGGUGUUUUCUUGAAAGACAAGCAUUCAGUCAAGUUCUCCAAAUCCUUGCUUUUUUAAUGGAGAAAUUAAUGGGAACCUCACUCUUAUUCCCAGCCUGAUAGCAGUAGAGCAGUACGAGCAGGGUUUCUCAGGGUGGGUUUUGGUUGGCCUCUGCUCUGGAAACAGUGUUUAUGUAAACUGCCAUCUGACAUUCUGUUUUAUCCUCCACUGUACAUCAGUUUCUGUAAUUUCAUUCAUGAUUUACUUUGACCUUUAGCUGUGUUUGAUAUUUUCUGGUACAAAAGCUUGACACUUAAUAAAGGAAAUUUCAAGAAAACA